AGUGAACGCUGGCGGUAGGCCUAACACAUGCAAGUCGAACGGCAGCACAGUAAGAGCUUGCUCUUACGGGUGGCGAGUGGCGGACGGGUGAGGAAUACAUCGGAAUCUACUUUUUCGUGGGGGAUAACGUAGGGAAACUUACGCUAAUACCGCAUACGACCUACGGGUGAAAGCAGGGGAUCUUCGGACCUUGCGCGAUUGAAUGAGCCGAUGUCGGAUUAGCUAGUUGGCGGGGUAAAGGCCCACCAAGGCGACGAUCCGUAGCUGGUCUGAGAGGAUGAUCAGCCACACUGGAAGUGAGACAGGGUCCAGACUCCUACGGGAGGAAGCAGUGGGGAAUAUUGGACGAUGGGCGCAAGCCUGAUCCAGCCAUACCGCGUGGGUGAAGAAGGCCUUCGGGUUGUAAAGCCCUUUUGUUGGGAAAGAAAAGCAGCAGGUUAAUACCCCGCUGUUCUGACGGUACCCAAAGAAUAAGCACCGGCUAACUUCGUG
rnacentral:rRNA from 1 species